UAGUAGUCAUACGCUCGUCUCAAAGAUUAAGCCAUGCAUGUGUAAGUAUAAAUAGUUAACUUUGAAACUGCGAAUGGCUCAUUAUAUCAGUUAUAGUUUAUUUGAUGAAGAAUACUAAUUGGAUAACCGUAGUAAUUCUAGAGCUAAUACAUGUAUAAAGUCUUGUAGACUGCAUUUAUUAGAAUGAAAACCAUAGGUUUCGGCCUAUUCGUGAGUAAUAAUAACUAAUCAUAUCGUAUGCUUAAGUAACGAUGUGUCUUUCAAGUUUCUGCCCUAUCAGCUUUCGAUGGUAGUGUAUUGGACUACCAUGGCAGUAACGGGUAACGAAGAA
rnacentral:rRNA from 1 species